GGGGGGGUAGCUCAGUGGUUAGAGCAUAGGUCUUGUGACCGGAAGGUCCCUGGAUCUAAUCCCGCCAAAGGUA
rnacentral:tRNA from 1 species